GACGAACGCUGGCGGCGUGCUUAACACAUGCAAGUCGAACGGAAAGGCCCUGCUUGCGCGGCGCUCAAGUGGCCAACGGAUGAGUAACACGUGGGUGAUCUGCCCCUUACUUUGAGAUAAACCUGGGAAACUGGGUCUAAUACUGGAUAGGACCAUGCUGUAAGUGGUGUGGUGGAAAGAUUUUUUCGGUAAGGGAUGAGCUCGCGGCCUAUCACCUUGUUGGUGGGGUAAUGGCCUACCAAGGCGUCUACGGGUAGCCGGCCUGAGAGGGAGGACGGCCACAUUGUCGACUGAGAUACGGCCCAAGACUCCUACCGGAGGCCCAGUGGGGAAUAUUGCACAAUGGGCGCAAGCCUGAUGCAACGACUCCGCGAGGGGGAUGACGGCCUUCAGGGUUGUAAACUCCUUUCAGCCACUGACGAAUCCUCUUUUGGGGUGACGGUAGUGGUAUAAGAAGCACCGGCUAACUACGUGCCAGCAACCGCGGUAAUACUUAGGGUGCGAGCGUUGUCCGGAAUUACUGGGCGUAAAGAGCUCGUAGGUGGUCUGUCGCGUCAUUUGUGAAAGCCCGGUGCUUAGCUCCAGGUUGGCACGUGAUACUCGCCUGACUGGAGUACUGUAGGGGAGACUGGAAUUCCUGGUGUAGCGGUGAAAUGCGCAGAUAUCAGGAGCAACACCGGUGGCGAAGGCGGGUCUCUGGGCAGUAACUGACGCUGAGGAGCGAAAGCGUGGAUAGCGAACAGGAUUAGAUACCCUGGUAGUCCAUGCCGUAAACGGAGGGCGCUAGGUGUGGGUUUCCUUCCACGGGAUCCGUGCCGUAGCAAACGCAUUAAGCGCCCCGCCUGGGGAGUACGGCCGCGAGGCUAAUACUCAAAGGAAUUGACGGGGGCCCGCACAAGCGGCAGGAGCAUGUGGAUUAAUUCGAUGCAACGCGAAGAACCUUACCUGGGCUUGACAUGCACUGGAUGCGGCCAGAGAUGGUUGUUCCCUUUGUGGCUGGUGUGCAGGUGGUGCAUGGUUGUCGUCAGCUCGUGUCGUGAGAUGUUGGGUUAAGUCCCGCAACGAGCGCAACCCUUGUCUCGUGUUGCCAGCAUUUGGUUGGGGACUCGCGGGAGACUGCCGGGGUUAACUCGGAGGAAGGUGGGGAUGACGUCAAAUCAUCAUGCCCCUUAUGUCCAGGGCUUCACACAUGCUACAAUGGCUGGUACAGAGAGUUGCGAUACCGUGAGGCGGGGCUAAUCUCCUAAAGCCAGUCUCAGUUCGGAUUGGAGUCUGCAACUUGACUCCAUGAAGUCGGAGUCGCUAGUAAUCGCAGAUCAGCAAUGCUGCGGUGAAUACGUUCCCGGGCCU
rnacentral:rRNA from 1 species